AUAAUGGGUCAGCGACUUAUAUUCUGUAGCAAGGUUAACCGAAUAGGGGAGCCGAAGGGAAACCGAGUCUUAACUGGGCGUUAAGUUGCAGGGUAUAGACCCGAAACCCGGUGAUCUAGCCAUGGGCAGGUUGAAGGUUGGGUAACACUAACUGGAGGACCGAACCGACUAAUGUUGAAAAAUUAGCGGAUGACUUGUGGCUGGGGGUGAAAGGCCAAUCAAACCGGGAGAUAGCUGGUUCUCCCCGAAAGCUAUUUAGGUAGCGCCUCGUGAAUUCAUCUCCGGGGGUAGAGCACUGUUUCGGCAAGGGGGUCAUCCCGACUUACCAACCCGAUGCAAACUGCGAAUACCGGAGAAUGUUAUCACGGGAGACACACGGCGGGUGCUAACGUCCGUCGUGAAGAGGGAAACAACCCAGACCGCCAGCUAAGGUCCCAAAGUCAUGGUUAAGUGGGAAACGAUGUGGGAAGGCCCAGACAGCCAGGAUGUUGGCUUAGAAGCAGCCAUCAUUUAAAGAAAGCGUAAUAGCUCACUGGUCGAGUCGGCCUGCGCGGAAGAUGUAACGGGGCUAAACCAUGCACCGAAGCUGCGGCAGCGACGCUGAUGCGUUGUUGGGUAGGGGAGCGUUCUGUAAGCCUGUGAAGGUGUGCUGUGAGGCAUGCUGGAGGUAUCAGAAGUGCGAAUGCUGACAUAAGUAACGAUAAAGCGGGUGAAAAGCCCGCUCGCCGGAAGACCAAGGGUUCCUGUCCAACGUUAAUCGGGGCAGGGUGAGUCGACCCCUAAGGCGAGGCCGAAAGGCGUAGUCGAUGGGAAACAGGUUAAUAUUCCUGUACUUGGUGUUACUGCGAAGGGGGGACGGAGAAGGCUAUGUUGGCCGGGCGACGGUUGUCCCGGUUUAAGCGUGUAGGCUGGUUUUCCAGGCAAAUCCGGAAAAUCAAGGCUGAGGCGUGAUGACGAGGCACUACGGUGCUGAAGCAACAAAUGCCCUGCUUCCAGGAAAAGCCUCUAAGCAUCAGGUAACAUCAAAUCGUACCCCAAACCGACACAGGUGGUCAGGUAGAGAAUACCAAGGCGCUUGAGAGAACUCGGGUGAAGGAACUAGGCAAAAUGGUGCCGUAACUUCGGGAGAAGGCACGCUGAUAUGUAGGUGAAGUCCCUCGCGGAUGGAGCUGAAAUCAGUCGAAGAUACCAGCUGGCUGCAACUGUUUAUUAAAAACACAGCACUGUGCAAACACGAAAGUGGACGUAUACGGUGUGACGCCUGCCCGGUGCCGGAAGGUUAAUUGAUGGGGUCAGCGCAAGCGAAGCUCUUGAUCGAAGCCCCGGUAAACGGCGGCCGUAACUAUAACGGUCCUAAGGUAGCGAAAUUCCUUGUCGGGUAAGUUCCGACCUGCACGAAUGGCGUAAUGAUGGCCAGGCUGUCUCCACCCGAGACUCAGUGAAAUUGAACUCGCUGUGAAGAUGCAGUGUACCCGCGGCAAGACGGAAAGACCCCGUGAACCUUUACUAUAGCUUGACACUGAACAUUGAGCCUUGAUGUGUAGGAUAGGUGGGAGGCUUUGAAGUGUGGACGCCAGUCUGCAUGGAGCCGGCCUUGAAAUACCACCCUUUAAUGUUUGAUGUUCUAACGUU
rnacentral:rRNA from 1 species